UGAGGGGAAAGCCAUCUCUGUGAACAAAAGAUCAGAAAUUGCCUCCGGAGCGCUGUCUGCUUCAGAAGAAAGACAGCAUUUGUGGGAUUGUGACCUUCAGGAUUACCUCAAGAAUAAUGAGCCCCAGGCACCUUUUCAGCUCCAUUAGUGACUGAGAUGCGGCACUCUGUCCCCAGCACACAAACAGGCCACUCUGAGGGCCAGACGCGAACCCCGGGCUUUCUGGCCGAACAGAACUCUCUAACCGCCGGACAAUGAAGGAGCGAACAGGAAGCCAGGGGGACGUGUCAAGGCUGCAGAGAGAUGAACCCAAUGGAGCUGGGCCCUGCCAAUGAGAAACAGAGACCACCUGGGCGGAAUUGAAGGAACAGCACUGCUCGCAGAGGGAAUAGUUUAU